rnacentral:rRNA from 1 species
CGAACGGGUGAGUAAUGCGUGACCAACCUGCCCCAUGCUCCAGAAUAGCUCUUGGAAACGGGUGGUAAUGCUGGAUGCUCCAACUUGACGCAUGUCUUGUUGGGAAAGUGUUUAGUGGCAUGGGAUGGGGUCGCGCCCUAUCAGCUUGUAGGCGGGGUAAUGGCCCACCUAGGCUUCGACGGGUAGCCGGCCUGAGAGGGCGGACGGCCACAUUGGGACUGAGAUACGGCCCAGACUCCUACGGGAGGCAGCAGGC